AGCACAGAAAAAAUCUGAAAGAGAGUUUGAACUGAAGAGUCGGUUUGAGCAAAGCAUGAAGGAAGCUGUAGACAAAUUCCAAGGGGUGAAUUUGUAUAUCAAGAAUGUGGAUGAUAGCAUCAAUGAUGAGAAGCUGAAGGAACUGUUUUCUGACUUUGGAACAAUUACUUCAUGCAAGGUUAUGCGUGAUCCCAGUGGAAUUAGCAGAGGUUCUGGUUUUGUUGCCUUUUCAACUCCUGAGGAAGCAUCUCGAGCUCUUUCUGAGAUGAAUGGCAAAAUGGUGGUUAGCAAGCCACUGUAUGUUGCACUUGCGCAACGGAAGGAAGAGAGAAGGGCGAGACUUCAGGCUCAGUUUUCACAGAUGAGGCCAGUUGCCAUGACACCUUCAGUUGCUCCCCGUAUGCCAAUAUAUUCUCCAGGUGCUCCAGGCUUAGGUCAGCAAUUUUUAUAUGGGCAAGCACCUCCAGGCAUAAUUCCUCCCCAGGUAACUUGUUUUUAAUUUCUUUUUCUUCAUUCUCACUGCUUGAUCCAUAGAGAAAAAGAAAUUGGUUCUACCAAACAAUCAAUUGCUGCAAAUAUGAGUAUUUGUUUUAUGUUUGAAUUGAUUGUUUUAAUGAAAAUCUGUGCUUGCCCUUCUGGUUUUAUCCUCUUUACCUUCUGGAUAUGUUUGAAAUAUACAGUUAUAUAUUAUAUGCUGAUCUAUAGGACAUAAAAGCUUCUAUGAUUGUUCUAAAAUUGCCCAACCAUAUUUGGAAUGGCUCUAGACUUUAAUUCAGUUUUUUAAAAUAUGUAUCUGCUAUUAGUAAUUGGAAGAAAUUUUCUCGUCUGUGAUGGUUCAAUAAUAGUGGAAAGAGAGUUUUGUAGUCUGAACUACAUAUGAUAAAGAAGCAUGAUUAGUCUAUUCUCAUAUUUUUGAGGUGAAUUUGAUUGAAAUUGCAAGUUUAGGUUCACUGAUUGAGAUUCUCUUUGUGCUAUUAUAACCAUUAAUUGUGGUUGUUGAUAUUGAAUCUCUUAAAUUUCUUUAGGCUGGUUUUGGAUAUCAGCAA
rnacentral:misc_RNA from 1 species